UGGGGAAUAUUGGACAAUGGGGGCAACCCUGAUCCAGCAAUACCGCGUGAGUGAAGAAGGCCUUCGGGUUGUAAAGCUCUUUUACCGGGGAAGAUAAUGACGGUACCCGGGGAAUAAGCUCCGGCUAACUUCGUGCCAGCAGCCGCGGUAAUACGAAGGGAGCUAGCGUUGUUCGGAAUUACUGGGCGUAAAGGGCGCGUAGGCGGUUUUGUAAGUCAGAUGUGAAAGCCCCGGGCUUAACCUGGGAACUGCAUUUGAGACUGCAAGACUAGAGAUCGAGAGAGGAAAGUGGAAUUACGAGUGUAGAAGUGAAAUUCGUAGAUAUUCGUAGGAACACCGGUGGCGAAGGCGACUUUCUGGCUCGACCCUGACGCUAAAGCGCGAAAGCGUGGGGAGCAAACA
rnacentral:rRNA from 1 species